rnacentral:rRNA from 1 species
UACGGAGGGGGCUAGCGUUGUUCGGAAUCACUGGGCGUAAAGCGCACGUAGGCGGCGGGUUUAGUCAGAGGUGAAAGGCCCGGGCUCAACCCCGGAAUAGCCUUUGAUACUAGAAGGCUUGAAUCUUUGAGAGGGUGGUGGAAUUCCGAGUGUAGAGGUGAAAUUCGUAGAUAUUCGGAAGAACACCAGUGGCGAAGGCGACUGACUGGACAAGUAUUGACGCUGAGGUGCGAAAGCGUGGGGAGCAAACAGG